rfam:Abiotrophia defectiva ATCC 49176 genomic scaffold Scfld2, whole genome shotgun sequence.
CAUACGUUAAUAUAACGACCGAAGACAGUAAGUGGCGCAGGCCUUAAUUUCUUACCGAGGAAGUUCCACGAAUGGAAGCUAUCUCUAUGUCUAAGGUGACAUAGAGAUUUUUUAUGGCAACA